UAUUGCCAAAAUCUGAGAAGCAGAGUUGGUUCAAUGCGGCGAACCAGAGAAGCUCAAGGAAAAAAGAAUUGAUGGAAUGCGAGAGUGUUGGAACUGAAGGCCAAGAAAAAAAAAUUCGGAAGAUCACAGGAGCAAUUCGGAACGUUGCUCUGAUACCAUGCCAAAAUCUGAGAAGCAGAGUUGGUUCAAUGCGGCGAACCAGAGAAGCUCAAGGAAAAAAGAGUAAAAGAAUUCUGAUUUUAUUUCUUGUAUACUAAUCUUUACAUGCAAUGGCUUUAUAUAUUGUAAACUACAAUGUAUUUUCGGUAACAUAAUAUUAUACAAUCAAUAUAAACAUGAUUCUAGGGGU